rnacentral:rRNA from 1 species
GAUGAACGCUAGCGAUAGGCUUAACACAUGCAAGUCGAGGGGCAUCGAGGGUAGCAAUACCUGUCGGCGACCGGCGCACGGGUGAGUAACGCGUAUGUAACCUGCCCGCAACAGAGGGAUAACCCGGCGAAAGUCGGACUAAUACCUCAUAAAACAGGGGUUCCGCAUGGGGCUAUUUGUUAAAGAUUUAUUGGUUGCGGAUGGGCAUGCGUACCAUUAGGUAGUUGGUGAGGUAACGGCUCACCAAGCCAUCGAUGGUUAGGGGUUCUGAGAGGAAGGUCCCCCACACUGGUACUGAGACACGGACCAGACUCCUACGGGAGGCAGCAGUGAGGAAUAUUGGUCAAUGGGCGAGAGCCUGAACCAGCCAAGUCGCGUGAAGGAUGACUGCCCUAUGGGUUGUAAACUUCUUUUACAGGGGAAUAAAAUGAGAU